GGCUAACUCUGUGCCAGCAGCCGCGGUAAUACAGAGGGUGCGAGCGUUAAUCGGAUUUACUGGGCGUAAAGCGCGCGUAGGCGGUUUUUUAAGUCUGAUGUGAAAGCCCACGGCUCAACCGUCGAGGGUCAUUGGAAACUGAAAAACUUGAGUGCAGAAGAGGAAAGUGGAAUUCCAUGUGUAGCGGUGAAAUGCGCAGAGAUAUGGAGGAACGCCAGUGGCGAAGGCGACUUUCUGAUCUGUAACUGACGCUGAUGUGCGAAAGCGUGGGGAUCAAACAGGAUUAGAUACCCUGGUAGUCCACGCCGUAAACGAUGAGUGCUAAGUGUUAGGGGGGUCCGCCCCUUAGUGCUGCAGCUAACGCAUUAAGCACUCCGCCUGGGGAGUACGGCCGCAAGGCUUAAACUCAAAGGAAUUGACGGGACCCGCACAGGCGGUGGAGCAUGUGGUUUAAUUCGAAGCAACGCGAAGAACCUUACCAAAUCUUGACAUCCUUUGACCGCUCUAGAGAUAGAGUCUUCCCCUUCGGGGGACAAAGUGACAGGUGGUGCAUGGUUGUCGUCAGCUCGUGUCGUGAGAUGUUGGGUUAAGUCCCGCAACGAGCGCAACCCUUAAGCUUAGUUGCCAUCAUACAGUUGGGCACUUUAAGUUGACUGCUGGUGACAAACCGGAGGAAGGUGGGGAUGACGUCAAAUCAUCAUGCCCCUUAUGAUUUGGGCUACACACGUGCUACAGUGGACAAUACAAAGGGCAGCGAAACCGCGAGGUCAAGCAAAUCCCAUAAAGUUGUUCUCAGUUCGGAUUGUAGUCUGCAACUCGACUACAUGAAGCUGGAAUCGCUAGUAAUCGUAGAUCAGCAUGCUACGGUGAAUAC
rnacentral:rRNA from 1 species